rnacentral:rRNA from 1 species
UCUAAGAACAACUGAUUACAGUGAAUCUGCGAACGGCUCAUUAGAACAGACAUAAUUCACUUGAUUUUGAUCCUCUAUAUGGGUAUCUGCGGUAAUUCUGGAGCUAAUACAUGCCAAGAGUCUCUGAACGCCUCGGCGUGACGAGCGCAAUUAUUAGACCAAAAUCCUCCGGGCCUAGCCUGUGUUUUUGGUGACUCUGAAUAAAGCCGCCGAUCGCACGGUCUCGUACCGGCGACGUAUCAAUCAAGUGUCUGCCCUAUCAACUUUCGAUGGUAGUUUAUGUGACUACCAUGGUUAUAACGGGUAACGGAGAAUAAGGGUUCGACUCCGGAGAGGGAGCCUGAGAAACGGCUACCACAUCCAAGGAAGGCAGCAGGCGCGUAAAUUACCCACUCUCAAUACGAGGAGGUAGUGAAUAUCAAUAACGAGACAGUGCUCUAUGAGGACUGUUAUUGGAAUGGGUAAAAUUUAAACCCAAUAACGAGGAUCUAUGAGAGGGCAAGUCUGGUGCCAGCAGCCGCGGUAAUUCCAGCUCUCAUAGCGUAUAUCAUCAUUGCUGCGGUUAAAAAGCUCGUAGUUGGAUCUGAGCCUGCGCGAGGCGGUACAGCUUUGCUGCUACUCGUCCUCCGGGCUAUAGCCGAUCGGUUUUCGGCGGCGUGUGCUUGCAUGCGUCCGUUGUGGCUGGUCAGUUUACCGUGAAAAAAUUAGAGUGCUUAACACAGGCGUUUCCGCCUGAAUAUCGUUUCAUGGAAUAAUAGAAUAGGACCUCGGUUCUAUUUUGUUGGUUUUCGGUGCUGAGGUAAUGGUUAAGAGGGACUGACGGGGGCAUCCGUAUCGCUACGCGAGAGGUGAAAUUCUUAGACCGUAGCGGGACGUCCUACUGCGAAAGCAUUUGCCAAGAAUGUCUUCAUUAAUCAAGAACGAAAGUCAGAGGUUCGAAGGCGAUUAGAUACCGCCCUAGUUCUGACCGUAAACGCUACCAACUAGCGACCCGCUGGUGGUUGAAAUGCCCUGGCGGGGAGCUUGCUCCGGAAACGAAAGUUUUCGGGUUCUGGGGGUAGUAUGGUUGCAAAGCUGAAACUUAAAGGAAUUGACGGAAGGGCACCACCAGGAGUGGAGCCUGCGGCUUAAUUUGACUCAACACGGGAAAACUCACCCGGCCCGGACACUAUGUGGAUUGACAGAUUGAAAGCUCUUUCAUGAUUCGGUGGUUGGUGGUGCAUGGCCGUUCUUAGUUGGUGGAGCGAUUUGUCUGGUUUAUUCCGAUAACGAGCGAGACUCUAACCUACUAAAUAGUCGUUGGAUAGUCAGGUCCAGCGUCGUACUUCUUAGAGGGAUUACCGGCGUUUAGCCGAUAGAAAUUGAGCAAUAACAGGUCUGUUAUGCCCUUAGAUGUUCGGGGCUGCACGCGCGCUACACUGGAAGGAUCAGCGCGCAGCAUUACCAGUGCCGAAAGGCAUUGGCAAACUCUAAAACCUUCCGUGAUUGGGAUAGGGAAUUGUAAUUAUUUCCCUUGAACGAGGAAUUCCCAGUAAGUGUGAGUCAUCAACUCGCGUUGAUUACGUCCCUGCCCUUUGUACACACCGCCCGUCGCUGCCCGGAACUGAGUCAUUUCGAGAAAUGCGGGGACUAGCGGCUCUUCGGAGUUCGCCGGAAACCGCAUUGAUCGCAGUGGCUU